UGGGGAAUAUUGGACAAUGGGGGCAACCCUGAUCCAGCCAUGCCGCGUGAGUGAUGAAGGCCUUCGGGUUGUAAAGCUCUUUUGGCGGGGACGAUGAUGACGGUACCCGCAGAAUAAGCCCCGGCUAACUUCGUGCCAGCAGCCGCGGUAAGACGAAGGGGGCUAGCGUUGUUCGGAAUUACUGGGCGUAAAGCGAGUGUAGGUGGUUGUCAUAGUCAGGUGUGAAAGCCUUGAGCUCAACUCAAGAAAUGCACUUGAUACUGGGCGACUAGAGGACCGGAGAGGAUAGUGGAAUUCCCAGUGUAGUGGUGAAAUACGUAGAGAUUGGGAAGAACACCAGUGGCGAAGGCGGCUAUCUGGACGGUUUCUGACACUAAGACUCGAAAGCGUGGGGAGCAAACAGGAUUAGAUACCCGCGUAGUCCCUGAGCGGGCUGGCAAGGCGCAU
rnacentral:rRNA from 1 species